rfam:Sorghum bicolor cultivar BTx623 chromosome 6, whole genome shotgun sequence.
AGCUGCGCGGUGCACACAAAGCGAACUAUUCUUUCGCCUUUUACUAAAGAAUACCGUGUGUGCGCCGCAAAUAGCAGCAUACGCUAAUUUUUGGAGGGGAUUCUCCUUUUUGGAGGGC